rnacentral:tRNA from 1 species
GGUUCCAUAGUAUAGCGGUUAGCAUGUCUGCUUUACACGCAGAAGAUGCUGGGUUCACAUCUCAGUGGAGCUA